rnacentral:lncRNA from 1 species
UACCUUUUAUCUUUUGAAAAAUCUUAAUAUUUGCAGAAAAAAGAAUUAUCAGAACAUGCAAAUCAUCCCGAUAUUUCGUAUUACUGAGAUCAUGUAUAAAAUAGACGACUUAGUUUCCCGUUAAACAUGUUUAAAAACAUCUGUGAUAACCUUACGGCUAUGUUCAUUUAGCAUUGAGUAAUAAGCAUAAUUACCUUUACUUCAUUAUUCAACAUUUAUGUUAAAAUCUAAAAAUAUGUUUUAUUGCGAAACAACAACAUUCAAUCUUGUUGACGUUAACGUUAAUGUUCAAUGUAAAAAAUAAAAUUACGUAAGAUUUAUAUUAUUAUCAAUCGUGCAUUUUACGUAAUCUAAGAAUAAUAACACAGCAACGCAUUUUUUAAAAUGAACUCUUUUCGAAGAAAUAUAUGUGUGUCAAAUAGUCUUAUUUGUUUGCUUUUACUAUUGGAUAUUCAUGAAUAUUCCACAGUGGAGUGCAGAAAAUUAGGAAAAGGCGUAAAACUCAACAAAGCUGAAGUGAAUGCCGCGGGCAAGACCUUACUGAUCUCUAAAGAAAAAAUUGACAAGCGAGUGAAAGACACGGAAACCCCAAGGAAAACGAUAAGAACAAUUUUACUGUCAGCCGUAUGUACAGCGUGCAAGAAAAAGAACAACACCUGCCUUCGUCGUCUGGCGUGCUCUUCACAGUCAGGGAUCUAGUUUCCUAGCUUAUCUCUUGAAAACAUAGUGGCUUUGUUCAUUCAUUCUAUGAAAUAUUUUACUAAUGAUGUAUAAUAUAUUUCAACUCAAAUGUAAAUAUGUUGGUUGUAUAUCAAUUACGUACAUUUUAAAGUUUGUUAGGUCUACUAAUUUGAAUACUUUUUUUUCAAAAUGCUACUUUAUUUCACGAAGUGCCAUGCUUAUACAAAGAGACACAAGAUGAUAUCAUAACACGCUUAAGUUCUAAAUAAAAUUUCAGUGGA